GCGACGCAGAACCACGGUGGUCACCGUCGGGAGACAGACUCGCGUUCACUUCGACACGUGGGACANNNNNNNNNNNNNNNNNNNNCGACAUCUCACCAGCUCCGACAGUAGGAAUGAAGACCAGUGUGAUGAGCUUGUCAGACCUACUGAGAGGAGGUGCAUGGCCGCCGUCAGCUCGUACCGUGAGGCGUCCUGUUAAGUCAGGCAACGAGCGAGACCCGCGUUCCUAAUUGCCAGCAGUACCCUUGUGGUAGCUGGGUACAUUAGGAAGACUGCCGCCGCCAAGGCGGAGGAAGGAACGGGCAACGGUAGGUCAGUAUGCCCCGAAUGAGCUGGGCUACACGCGGGCUACAAUGGCCGGGACAGUGGGUUCCGACACCGAGAGGUGGAGGUAAUCUCUCAAACCCGGUCGUAGUUCGGAUUGCGGACUGAAACUCGUCCGCAUGAAGCUGGAUUCGGUAGUAAUCGCGUGUCAGAAGCGCGCGGUGAACACGUCCCUGCUCCUUGCACACACCGCCCGUCAAAGCACCCGAGUGAGGUCCGGAUGAGAUCGCUUCACAGCGACCGAAUCUGGGCUUCGCAAGGGGGCUUAAGUCGUAACAAGGUAGCCGUAGGGGAAUCUGCGGCUG
rfam:halophilic archaeon J07HB67 genomic scaffold scf_7180000098878, whole genome shotgun sequence.